UACGGAAGGGGCUAGAGUUGUUCGGAAUUACUGGGCGUAAAGAGCGCGUAGGCGGCUUACCAAGUUGGGGGUGAAAUCCCGGAGCUCAACUCCGGAACUGCCUUCAAAACUGGUAGGCUCGAGUCCGGAAGAGGGGCGUGGAAUUCCCAGUGUAGAGGUGAAAUUCGUAGAUAUUGGGAAGAACACCGGUGGCGAAGGCGGCGCCCUGGUCCGAUACUGACGCUGUGGCGCGAAAGCGUGGGGAGCAAACAGG
rnacentral:rRNA from 1 species